rnacentral:lncRNA from 1 species
UCUGAGGACCCCACCCAGAACUCCUCGCUGUCCUGGAGAAGAGGCCUGAACUGCAGAGACCCACGCAGGUGACCCCAGUCCGGGGCCUCAGGACCCAGGUGAGGAUCCGAGGACUCCGCUCUCACCUGCGGCGUAAUCACUAGCGCUGCCUCGGCCAUGGGACUUUAGGCGGGGCGGGGCCUGGAAAGGCGGGCGGUAAAGCCCGGGAUCCGGCGUGCGUGCGGUGGCAAAUCGCUGGGCGACGCUCAGACCGAGACCAGGCAAGCUCCUCUGCGGGCGGACACCACCUCCACCGGUUUCCGGCUCCAGUUACCUGGCCCGGACCCAGCGAGCCGGAAACGCCCAGCCCGCGGACGCGCUCGCAGGCAGCAAAAACGACCACCACCGGAAAGACGCCGGAAGAUUCUGGCGUAUUGCGCACUUACGGAGGUGCCCCUUUCCUGGGCAAUGAUUGGUCUAAGGCCCCGGCACGCUCGGCGCACAGUAUUCUGGGUGGUGUAGUUCCUACCACGCCGCAGUCCGCCGCGCUGUGAGGACUCAAUCCAAGAAAGAGAGGACAAAGGAAAAAACCCAUCAAACUAGGGUCAGCAAAGCCUAUUACAUACACAGGAUAAAAGAAUACGAUUUGAUCUUCAUUUCUCAACACAAAAGUUGACAUAUAUUGCAUACAA